rnacentral:rRNA from 1 species
GAUGAACGCUAGCGGGAGGCCUAACACAUGCAAGCUGAGCGGUAUUGUUUCUUCGGAAACGAGAGAGCGGCGUACGGGUGCGGAACACGUGUGCAACCUGCCUUUAUCAGGGGGAUAGCCUUUCGAAAGGAAGAUUAAUACUCCAUAAUAUAAUAGAUGGCAUCAUUUAUUAUUGAAAACUCCGGUGGAUAGAGAUGGGCACGCGCAAGAUUAGAUAGUUGGUGAGGUAAUGGCUCACCAAGUCGAUGAUCUUUAGGGGGCCUGAGAGGGUGGUCCCCCACACUGGUACUGAGACACGGACCAGACUCCUACGGGAGGCAGCAGUGAGGAAUAUUGGACAAUGGGUUAGCGCCUGAUCCAGCCAUCCCGCGUGAAGGACGACGGCCCUAUGGGUUGUAAACUUCUUUUGUACAGGGAUAAACCUAUCUACGUGUAGAUAGCUGAAGGUACUGUACGAAUAAGCACCGGCUAACUCCGUGCCAGCCGCCGCAGUAACAC